UUCUAUUUUUAGAUAUUAUAUAUAACUAGGUUGUUCGUUCACUUUUCGCGGGGACCGUUUUUCUCGUGCUUGAGACUCGAUGUCCAGACUUCACUUGGGUAUUUAAACCUCGUCUGGACAAUAUUUCUAUAGAUUGGGGAAAUCUCAUGUACUGCUUUUCCAGCACACAAAAAUGGCUAGAGUAAUAUUCAUUCUCGCAGUUGUGACAUUGUUCGUACUCUCAGUAGAAUCGGACGGACUUAACUUCUGUGAUGCAGUAGAUUGUACAGCUAGCUCUUUUUCUCUGCGUCCUGAACAAUGGCCUCGGUGGUAUGUAGCAAUGGGGUCUGACUCAAAGGGUCAACUACAUGGGAUUCACAAACUCAUAUCUCUCGGUAGUAGUCGGCACAAAUUUAAUUUUGAACGCAUCAGUUCAAACGAACCAUAUUUCUACAUAACAUCAGAGAAAUGGCAAGGAUGGUAUGUUUACAUGACGGAUACACGAGACGGUUUGGUUCAGUCGACCACAACAAAGCCAGGUGCGGCAGGCGAAUGGAAGAUCGAGAAAGUUUCCGAAGGAGUAUACACAUUGUUCCCAAAGAAAUGGCCUAACUGGCACAUGUGUAUGAAAAAUGACCGUAAGGGUACCAUCUACGGGUGUCCGGAAGGGCGUUUUUUCAUAGACAAAAAUUAAAAUAUGGAUCUGAGUUUUUGACAUUUUGUUUAUCAAAAUCAUUAAUUGAAAUAAAAUUGAUAAAAAUGCA